GAGGCAGCAGUGGGGAAUUUUGGACAAUGGGCGCAAGCCUGACCAGCAAUGCCGCGUGCAGGAUGAAGGCCUUCGGGUUGUAAACUGCUUUUGUACGGAACGAAAAGGCUCUCUCUAAUACAGAGAGCCGAUGACGGUACCGUAAGAAUAAGCACCGGCUAACUACGUGCCAGCAGCCGCGGU
rnacentral:rRNA from 1 species